UGGGGAAUAUUGCACAAUGGGCGCAAGCCUGAUGCAGCAACGCCGCGUGAGGGAUGACGGCCUUCGGGUUGUAAACCUCUUUUAGCAGGGAAGAAGCGUGAGUGACGGUACCUGCAGAAAAAGCGCCGGCUAACUACGUG
rnacentral:rRNA from 1 species